AGGGGGGGAGAGUCCUUAAAUAUGCCAACUACUGAAACCAAAAAAUAAAAAUGCAUUAAGGUUUCGGCAGGAGUAUUGCAUAGGCCAAACCAAAUGGAGUUUUCAUAUCUGCUCUAGCAAUUGGUGUUUUACAACAGUUAAGUUCAAAGAUAAGAAGUAAAGCAGUCUCAGCACUUAGGUUGAUGUAUACUUGGAAAGCACUGCAAUUCAAUAAGAACUUCGAGUGUCAUAUAUUUGUGAGCACCAGCGUGUGUGUAUAUGUGCAUGAAAGCAUUUAUGUUGGCAUGUAACUUGUGCAAACAUAGGGACUAAGAUAACUGAUGGGCAGAUAACUUAGAAAAAAAUGUUUUUCGACAAAAAGGGCACCAUAUACUAGUUCUUUGUGACUGAAGUAAAUCAAUGUUGACUGGUUCUAAGUGCAAACUCAAAGGCUUAAUUGUUGCAGUUAUAAUAUGCCAGCACAUCUGCAUGAUCACCUAGCAAAUAAUAAUAAGAAGAAGAAGAA
rnacentral:misc_RNA from 1 species